ACAAGCGGUGGAGUAUGUGGUUUAAUUCGACGCAACGCGCAGGACCUUACCUGGUCUUGACAUCUCGGGAAUCAUUUGGAAACAUAUGAGUGCCUCGCAAGAGGAGCCCGAUGACAGGUGCUGCAUGGCUGUCGUCAGCUCGUGUCGUGAGAUGCUGGGUUAAGUCCCGCAACGAGCGCAACCCUUGUCUUUAGUUGCCAUCAUUAAGUUGGGCACUCUAAAGAGACUGCCGGUGUCAAACCGGAGGAAGGUGGGGAUGACGUCAAGUCCUCAUGGCCUUUAUGACCAGGGCUACACACGUACUACAAUGGCAGGUACAAAGGGCAGCCACUUAGCGAUAAGGCGCGAAUCCCAUAAAACCUGUCUCAGUCCGGAUUGGAGUCUGCAACUCGACUCCAUGAAGUUGGAAUCGCUAGUAAUCGCAGAUCAGCACGCUGCGGUGAAUACGUUCCCGGGCCUU
rnacentral:rRNA from 1 species